GACGAACGCUGGCGGCGUGCUUAACACAUGCAAGUCGAACGGAAAGGCCCUGCUUUUGUGGGGUGCUCGAGUGGCGAACGGGUGAGUAACACGUGAGUAACCUACCCUUGACUUUGGGAUAACUUCAGGAAACUGGGGCUAAUACCGGAUAGGAUCUCCUGCUGCAUGGUGGGGGUUGGAAAGUUUCGGCGGUUUGGGAUGGACUCGCGGCUUACCAGCUUGUUGGUGGGGUAGGGGCUUACCAAGGCUUUGACGGGUAGCCGGCCUGAGAGGGUGACCGGGCACAUUGGGACUGAGAUACGGCCCAGACUCCUACGGGAGGCAGCAGUGGCGAAUAUUGCACAAUGGGCGGAAGCCUGAUGCAGCAACCCCGCGUGCGGGAUGACGGCCUUUGGGUUGUAAACCGCUUUAGCCUGUGACGAAGCGUGAGUGACGGUAAUGGGUAAAGAAGCACCGGCUAACUACGUG
rnacentral:rRNA from 1 species